CUGGAGGGCAGCGUGGGGGAAGGGUGGGUGUAGGCGCAGCGAGAGGCAGGCGCAGAAGAUGGGAGGUGGUCAUUUUCUGCAGAUGAUUUGGGAGACAGCCAGCCCAGGGAUUGGCCAUCCAGUUUGGGGGCCAGUUCAAAUGGCUUGGAGCUAACCAAUCAGAAACUCAGGAAAGGGGCGGAAUCUGAAGAAUCAGGCCACUGCGCACUCACCUGCGGUAUGAGACUGUUUGAGACUAAGAAAAUAUACCAGUCCUCAUCAAACUUCCCCAACCAGUCUUCACAGUCCUUGAUGUUUCUUGGCUGAAGUAACUACCAAGAUGAAUGCCGAAGAGGGGUAAAGAAUUGAGCUGGCGACCAUUUGACAGUGUAGCUGAGAUAGAGAAAUACUGAUCUAGAAGGUAUGGGAAGAUCCCAGCCCUGCUGUCCUGCAGCCGUCCCAGGACCAGCCUUUUGGUCUGCAUAGCCAACAGGGUUUCCACAGCUUCCAAGAGGACAUCUGACACAGGUGUUAAGCUUUCUGAAAUAAAAAAAAAAGAUGUACACGCACACAAGAUUAGCUUUUAAACCUUCCCUGAGUGUUCAAUUAUGUAAAUGAUCACUCUCUUUCUAGACCUUCCUUCUUAGUCAUCAAUAAUCAGAGUUGGUGAUGAUCCUUCAAAGAUUUCAUGUUCGGUAGUUAUUUGAAUAAAACUAAAUUUGGCCUUUUU